GAUGAACGCUGGCGGCGUGCCUAAUACAUGCAAGUCGAGCGAACAGACGAGGAGCUUGCUCCUCUGACGUUAGCGGCGGACGGGUGAGUAACACGUGGAUAACCUACCUAUAAGACUGGGAUAACUUCGGGAAACCGGAGCUAAUACCGGAUAAUAUAUUGAACCGCAUGGUUCAAUAGUGAAAGACGGUUUUGCUGUCACUUAUAGAUGGAUCCGCGCCGCAUUAGCUAGUUGGUAAGGUAACGGCUUACCAAGGCGACGAUGCGUAGCCGACCUGAGAGGGUGAUCGGCCACACUGGAACUGAGACACGGUCCAGACUCCUACGGGAGGCAGCAGUAGGGAAUCUUCCGCAAUGGGCGAAAGCCUGACGGAGCAACGCCGCGUGAGUGAGGAAGGUCUUCGGAUCGUAAAACUCUGUUAUUAGGGAAGAACAAAUGUGUAAGUAACUAUGCACGUCUUGACGGUACCUAAUCAGAAAGCCACGGCGAACUACGU
rnacentral:rRNA from 1 species